AAAUGAUGUUGAAGAAGCAAUCUCAUAUCUUAUCUUUUUCAAUAGUAAUACUAUUUUCUCUAUUGUAUUCCACAACAACUACUUUAUCUCAAUUAUCACCUGCUAAUGCUCCAAUACAACCUACACUACCGGGUGCGGCUCCACCAGCCGCAUCCCCGAAACCAUUGGUUCCGUCAUUACCACAAUCACCGAGUGAUUCGACACCUGACACUUCAUCAGUUGAUAUCGUCGGAAUACUAAGACAAGCAAAAUCAUUCAACGUAUUCAUUCGUCUAAUGAAAACAACACAAUUGAUAAACCAACUGAAUUCACAACUAUUAACAACAAAAUCAGGAGGGUUAACAAUUCUUGCACCAGAUGACAGCGCGUUCUCAGAACUAAAAGCAGGGUAUCUGAACUCUCUAUCAGACGGACAGAAAUUGGAACUAUUACAGUUUCAUGUAAUAUCAGAGUAUGUAUCUAGCUCUAAUUUUGAUACUCUAACCAACCCUGUCAGAACACUCGCUGGAGCCAAACCUGGAAAAGUAGAACUCAAUGUCAUAAGUUAUGGUGGAAAUGUCAACAUAUCAACAGGGGAAGUCAACACAACAAUAAGUGGCAUUAUAUAUACUGACAAACAUCUUGCUAUUUAUAAAGUUGCCAAAGUGCUUCUUCCUACGGAUUUCUUUGCCGUUGCUAAGGCGCCAGCAAAGGCGAAGGGACCUUCUUUGGCGCCGGAACCUUCAGCAUUGACUCCAAAAGCUGAUAAGGGGAAGCCAUUAUCACCAGAUUCCUCAGAUUCGUCUCAAGAUAAGCCUGCAAAUGAUAACUCUGGUACUGUGAAAAUGAAUGUCUGUGGAAAGUGGAUUUCUCUUAUUGUUGGAGUAGUUCUCGUGACUAUAAUGCAAAAAUAAAUCAGAAUGUGAUUACUGAUUUGGAUUUGAUUGUCAACUUCGUAGCCAAAAGUACUGUUCUAUUAAUUCAAGAAUUUUAUGCGAUGUGUUAUUAAAAUAAUGGAGAACGGAGUGAAUGUUGGAUUGCUGGUGAUGAGUUUAUCAAACUGAAUUAGGGGUUCUGAGAUUGUUGUAUCUAUGAAUUUAUUAAGCAAGAGUAUUAUGGUGUCAUUCUAUGGUGAAUUUUUUAUUUUUAUUUUUACUUGCUAAUAUAUGGGGUCGAGGAUGGGGUUUGGGCUCAUUUAAAAUGAAUUAUUCCCGUUAAAGAUUCAAGAAUAAAAUCAACUAUGAAUGAUCAAAUGAAUGGUGAAUAUUACUUGUACAUGCAUUAUCCGUCUUUGGUGGUUAUAAUAACAACAAUUGAUUCAUUCACUUUAGUAACAUGUCAAUUGACAUGAACCACAUUUAACUUAUGGUUAUUAAUUUUUAACUAUUAUUUGUUUAAACCGAGUAGUACAUUUCAUUUAAAAUUCACAAAAAACAAUUAUGAGGUUCAUAGUUCGAACCUAUUAGAGUAACUAACUAAGCUUGGUAAAUGUAUAUAAGCUUCUCUUGUAAUGUAAGAAUCAAUAUUAUGAAAUAUACAAAGUGUAUAACUCUCAAUGAAUAAGAAACUGAGUUUCUAUUAAGUUGUUUCAUACAAUUCUAUUCUAAACAUGAUGUCACAAAGCUUUGGUUCUUAGAUCUAACUCUUUCUUUUCCUGUUUUUUUUUUUUAUAUUGUUUUUUCUUCGCUUCAUUUCAUUUGGCUGCAUCAUUGACUCAUCGUUCCUCAUGUUGAACUCUGAUUCUUUUUUAAGUUCCGAUCACGAAUCACUAGAUAAUUCACCUAAACGAUCCAAGAUGGAUCAUUCCCUGCAUCACCUUCCUUUCAAAGGCCCACACCCAUUUAUUCAUACACUUUCCAUCAAAUUAUCAGGCAAGAAUUAUCUGCUAUGGAAUCAACAAAUCGAUGGCGUUAUUACUUUCAUAAGCUCCACCACUUUGUCGUACAACCAAAUAUUCCCCAUAAAUUUGCCUCUGAAGCUUAUUGUGUUCUGAACCAGGUCACUGAUGAAUAUCAAUCUUGGUUAGUCGCCGAUCAAAUGUUGUUUACAUGACUUUUAUCUUCUCUUUAUGAAGAAAUUCUCCCCCGAGUAAUUGGUUGCAAGCAUUCAUGGGAAGUCUGGGAAAAGAUCCACAAAUAUUUUCACUCGCAUUUGAAGGCUAGGGUUCAUGGGAUUAGGCUUUUUUAUUUCCACUAAUCAAAUGUUGUUGUUGUAAUUUUGAAAAAUCAUUCUAUAAAUGAUAGUUACAACUACGGUUUUAACAAAACAUUGUUUGAAAAAAAAAACAUUGUAUAAGGCAAAGGAAAUGCCUUGGUUCCACACGAAUAGAAAACUGUUAUCGUAGAUUUCAUCAACAAUUUUUUUACAUUAAGCAACAUUUUUGGUGUGUUGUAGUAGGGACAAAAUGUUGCAGUGUUUUCAAAACUAAGUGCAGACCAUUGUCCACGUUUUGUUAGGUUUGGUUGAAACUGUUGAUUUGAAAAAGUCUCACAUUACUUGAAAUUGUAAAGGGAGAAAGAUCUCAAGACUAUAUAUAUGAUUCUAAUUAUUCAUUACAAUUUGCACUAGUCAAAAAUACUUUAAACUUAUAUCCGAUUCUUUUCUCUAAUACUCUUGUGUUAGAGUAUCGCAAGAUGUAGUUCAAAUAUUUGAUUUGAAGAGUGUGAGAGAAAUCUAUGUGUUUAUAAUAAUUUUCACAUGAUAUUAUUCUCUGGUUGUCAUUAGACAACAGUCGUGAAUGGGUAAGACAUACAUUGACUAAUAAUCAACUAAAUGUUGAAUACAUAAGAGUGGUGACCUAUAUACCUAAUGUCAGAAGGUUUUGAGUUAAAAUGUGGUAUAAAGGUUUCUUGUGGAUCUUAGAAUAUUUUAGCCAAAUCUCUUUUCUAUACUUCAUUUUCUUUUUCUGUCGCUUCCUAUCACAUCACUUUCACUAUUUCUCUCUAUCAAAAGUGAUCCGACUAAAUUAUUUUUCAAUUAACUUUUUUGAUUUGUGAGUGUGUCCAACUAUUUUCAAUUUGGGUUGGUGGCCAUAUAAGAUUUACUUGCGGCAACAAUGUAUAUUGUUUGUAACAAAUUUUCUUAAAGCAUAUUAACAAACUUGGAACUACAAUGAUUUGAUUUAUUGUUCAAAAGUCGAAUUUGAAUCUGUAUAUUACAGGUUGGAAUUCUGCUAAAUGUAAGACCUUUCAUUUUUAAAUCCUAAAUUAAACAAUUUUAAGAUAUUUUGUGUGAAUUUCUUAAGUUUUUAGCCCAAUUUUUGGUAUUUUUUAAGUUAAAUGGCAAAAAUAUAUUUUUGGAGAUCCGAUUAAAAUUAUUUGUCGAUGAAUAAUUUUAAUUAUUUACGGAGAAUCUUUUGGCGAAGAAAUUUUUUCUAAGAUGCAGCGUUUUUCAGAUAAAUACAUCUACCGAAUUGAAUUGCGGCGAGACUGGAUAUUUUUCUGAAAAAGUGGUUUGAGAUGUGAUGUGAGGUGUCAGAGGUAUAUGAUAUCAAAUAUAUAUGGUGUCCUGGAAAACAUGGUAAAUCAUUACCCAGCCUCUCGCGAUUCUUCUUCUCCUUCCUCUAUUUUGAAAGGUGGGUUUCAAAAAAACCGUCAAACAUAAACCUUUAUUUAUCUUCUAGAUCUAAGCUCCCUUUCGAGAAGUGACAGAAGGGAAAGUUACUCAUUUCCACGCUACGGUGCUAGUGAGCCAGUUUUCGAAGCGACGACGCGAGCAGAAGUUUUACCAAAAAUAAUUGUGGUGUCGUAAACGGUUGUUAAAGCGAUAGUUAAGGUAAAGGUCCCUUCCAAACUUUUAGACUGCAUAUAGGAUUCUAUAUGUGUAUUUGUGGAGGUGGAAAUUUGUGAGAUUUGUGUGUGAAAUUGUGGAAAAUGAAUUUAAUGUGAUUUAUGUGUGUUUGUAGAGAUGGAAUUUGGUGGCUUAUGUGUGAAAAUGUGGAGUUUUGAAAUUGGGUGAUUUAUGUUUGAAUUGUUGAAAUUUAAUUGAGGUGCUAUAUGCGUGUUGUGGAGUUUGAAUUGAUUAAAUUUGAUGCGAUUGAGUUACGUAAUGAGUUAUUUUUAAAUAAAUGAGUUUUAACUGAAGUUCAAAUUUUACAAAAAAAAAUUUAGAGUUGUUAAAGGUGUGAAAAAGUUUAAAUUUUAACUAAGUUAAAGAGUUUGAGCAAAAAGAUAGAUUGAAAUUAAGAAUGGUUAGAGUUUAAAAUGUUACUCUUUAAUCACUCCUUGACUGAGUUUAAAAAGAAAAAAGUUUAGAGUAAUUUAUUAACUCAAAAAAUUCGGUGUUUUAAUAGUCGAGUGUGUGUAUGUGAGAUUUGGACAAUAUUUGUUUUAUUUAGUUUUAACUAAAUAAUGUAGAUUUAUUUGGUUUUAAAAGUUUGAUGUGUAAAAAAGAUAUAAUUUUGAGAAUUUUGUUGUGGUCGGAUAAAUUUUAGCUGUGAACAAAUUGUUAUAAAUAUUUAUGUUUAUGUAGUUAGCUCCUUGAAUCUCGAAAAGGAAUCGAGACUGUUGGCACCGAGUUAGCGGUUGGGAAAACUCUGAUAUAUUAAUGUUGUUGUAGUGAUUAAGUUUUGAUGUGAUUAUGUAUUCUAACUGAUAAUAUGUGUGUUAUGAAUUUUAUUGAGGAAAAUAUGUUGAGUAUACUAUGUGAUAAGUUUAAAAAAUCGUUAGUGUUAAAUGAGUAUUAAAAAUGGGGAAUAUUUUAAUAGCUGCAUUUACUUAAUGAUUGUGGUGAAAAGAGUGAGAGUAUGCUCAUGCAUUUCAUAGCUUGUGAUGAUUGUGAUAGGUCACAGUGUUAGUGGUGACCGCGAUGGGCCACAGUGUUAAGUGGUGACCGUGAUGGGCCACGAAGUUAAGUGUUGACCGUGAUGGGCCACAUGGUGGUUCCAUGGGAUAGUUUGUCCAUCUUAUCCUUACGAGGAUUUAACUGAUAUGUAAGGUUCGUGACAGGCCUCUAGUAAAUCGUGUUGAUCUGUGAUAGAUUGCACUUUGGUAAUUAGUGCUGGUUUGUGAGAGGCUGCAUUCUAGAAUAUGUUGAUCUGUGAGCGAUUGCACGCUAGUAAAUCGUGUUGAUCUGUGAGAGAUUGCACAUUGGUAAUUAGUGUUGGUCUGUGAGAGACUGCACUCUAGAAUGUGUUGAUCUGUGAGCGAUUGCACUCUAGAAAAUCGUACUGAUCUGUGAGCGAUUGCAUGCUAGUAAAUUGUGUUGAUUUGUGAGAGAUUGCACCUUGGUAAUUAGUACUGGUUUGUGAGAGGUUGUACAAUUAUGAUUUAUGCCCCUUCGAGGAAGGCUUUUGUUUGAAAAUUCCGGAAUCAUGCGCAUUGACAUAUACACAUUGCAUUAGGGUGCUUGGCACGCGAGUCAUGUUUGUUAUACUAUGAUGAUUGUAUAUACAUAAUCGGUUGUUGUUUGUUAUUAUGCGGUGAUUGCUUUGAGGUGUGAAUUUUGGUUGAUUAAGUUUCGAUGUAAUUAUGUGUUCAUAAUUGAUGUUAUGAAUGUUUUAUGUGUGAUUGAGGUGUGAAUUUGUGGAGAUUAAUUUGGUGUGAAUUAUGUGUUCAUAAUUGAUAUUAUGAAUGUGUGAAGUGUUAAUUGAUUCAGAGCCAUUUUAGAAUUGAAAAUAUGCAUUUUUCUUAGUUGUAUUCGGCUACGCUAGUGCUGUAUUCGAAUACGACAUUGCAGUUUUGUUAAAAACUUCAUUUUCGACUUUGUUUAUGCAUUUUUGACAUAUGAAAACCCUUUCAAUGAGUAUGCUAAGAUGAAAGGUUAUUUUGUGCAUUUAAAAUUUAAAUGCUAAGUGAUAUUUAUUAAUUUCGGUUGGUGUCCCUUUACAAUUACUGUGGAAUUUGGGCUUUGCCCUCAAAUGAGAACCGAGGUCGCCCUACCGAUUAGUACCCUGGCGACGGGAACGUAGUUAGACAUAUAUGACCGAUGCUGUGUCAGGAGGAACUUGCGUGUUGCGUGGAGAUCACCGGGUUAUUAUAGUUUUAGUAGUAUGAUCAUAUUAGUUUGGUUGUAUAUGGACUAGAUGUAUUUCUUUUGCGAUUGUAAUUAUUUUAUUUUGGGAAGACUAUACCUAUAACUUAUAUUGUCAGUUUGACUUUUGUUUUGGUAGGUCCAUGUUCCAUUUUUUUUAUGUGACUGUGGGGGAAGAUAAAAAUUCUUGGGACAGUACUUUUGUACAGGUGUCUACCGAGAAUAUCCCAGGGAUAUGAGCUAUGUUUGAUAGGUCUCAUAGCCCCAUUGUAUUUCUCUAUUUAAUUACUUUGAAUUUUAAUCCCAAAAACUAUUUUAGGUUGUUGGUAAUUAUGAUAUAAUUACUUAUGACUUUUGUCGUUUGCGUUACAACUUAAUAUUUUAUCCAAAAGUAUUUUAUUGAUUUAUGAAUUUAAAUUGGUUUGAAAAAAUAUAAAUACACUUAAGCCGUUAAAAAAUCGAAGCGUUACGCUAAAUAUCAUUGGAUUAAAACAACUGUAAAUUUUUUACAAGUACUUAAUGGAUUCUAAAAGUUUCUCCAUCUUGAAUUGAUAGACCAUCUCCUCAUCUAAAUGAAAAAAACAUAACAAUAUUUGUUAUAUGUUAUUAUAUUAGAGUGUUAACAAGACACUCUCCAACUUCCACUUUUUAAUACACUUUUACAUAAAUUUCAUUAAAUUAUGUAAGUUCCAUAUAAAGUUAGAGAGACUCAUGUAAAUUUUAAUCGAUUAAAGAGAUUGUGUUAGAAAAUGUAUGAUAAGUAAUGUUUUCUAGUAUUACUCUAUUAAUUACUGCCUAAUCCUAUUUAUAAAAUAAUUUUUGAAUAAUUUUUUUGACUCUAUUUGUAAAACAAAAGUUAAAACUUUCAAAGUACAAUUAUUAUUAAAAUUACUUGUAUACCCUUGUUUAAAAUGUUAUUCUUCUUAAGUAUUAUUAAUAUGUAUUUAUUGUGUACAGUUUUUAAUCCAAAAUUAAAACAAUAAAUAAAUACAUUGAUUUUGAUAUUUUUCUAUUUUAUUUUUUCUCUUAUAAAUAGGACAAGAGAGGUAACACUAACACUGAAAAAACAUAUCAACAUGAGAUAUAAUUAUUUUUAAAACAUAAACAAAACCCACCCACAUUGAGAAGGAUCAUUGAAAGCAACACAAAUGUCACUUUUAGCUAAACGGACAAUUGACCAUUAAUUUGAGCCUAUAGCUGUCCCAAAUGAUGUACUACUAUAUACAUUCCCCUCAACACCCUUUUGCACUGUUAAAAGUUCUCUUUAUAGAUUGCAACAACUAGCCUAGUAAAAACACCAAAUAUAUUAUUUUGAGAAAGAACACCAACAUUCACUAAAAUUAAAUAUUUGUGAUGAAAGAAUUAAUGGUGUAGCCUUCAAUCAUGUAUACACUCGUCGAUGCUACACUUGAAUUUCCUUCCAGCUAGCAACUUUAAGUUCACAAAUCACAAUUUGAUAUUUUCAAACAAAACAUUUCACCUACCUCUAAAUAUUCUCUCUACCAUACUUACUUCCUUGUUCUAUAAAAACCUUUGUCCCACAUAUCAUCAAUGCACCAAGUACUCAUUGCAACUACAAUUUCUACCAUUUGCAUUCAUUUGCAAAAGUCACCAAAGGCCUUAUAACAUUAAUUCAUCAAAUCCAAAAUGAUGUUGAAGAAGCAAUCUCAUAUCUUAUCUUUUCCAAUAGUAAUACUAUUUUCUCUAUUGUAUUCCACAACAACAACUUUAUCUCAAUUAUCACCUGCUAAUGCUCCAAUACAACCUACACUACCGGGUGCGGCUCCACCAGCCGCAUCCCCGAAACCAUUGGUUCCAUCGUUACCACAAUCACCGAGUGAUUC
rnacentral:lncRNA from 1 species